rnacentral:rRNA from 1 species
GGAGGGUGCAAGCGUUAUCCGGAUUCACUGGGUUUAAAGGGUGCGUAGGCGGAUUAGUAAGUCCGUGGUGAAAUCUCCGAGCUUAACUCGGAAACUGCCGUGGAUACUAUUAAUCUUGAAUGCUGUGGAGGUUAGCGGAAUAUGUCAUGUAGCGGUGAAAUGCAUAGAUAUGACAUAGAACACCAAUUGCGAAGGCAGCUGGCUACACAGAGAUUGACGCUGAGGCACGAAAGCGUGGGGAUCAAACAGGAUUAGAUACCCUGGUAGUCCACGCCCUAAACGAUGAUUACUCGACAUUUGCGAUAUACAGUAAGUGUCUGAGCGAAAGCAUUAAGUAAUCCACCUGGGAAGUACGACCGCAAGGUUGAA